CGCGUAGGUGGUUGAUUAAGUUAGCUGUGAAAGCCCCGGGCUCAACCUGGGAAGGCCAGCUAAUACUGAUUGACUAGAGUAUGGUAGAGGACAGUGGAAUUUCCGGUGUAGCGGUGAAAUGCGUAGAUAUCGGAAGGAACAUCAGUGGCGAAGGCGACUGUCUGGACUGAUACUGACACUGAGGCGCGAAAGCGUGGGUAGCGAACA
rnacentral:rRNA from 1 species